rnacentral:rRNA from 1 species
CCUACGUGAGGCAGCAGUGAGGCAUAUUGGUCAAUGGACGAGAGUCUGAACCAGCCAAGUAGCGUGAAGGAUGACUGCCCUAUGGGUUGUAAACUUCUUUUAUAUGGGAAUAAAAUGUUCCACGUGUGGGAUUUUGUAUGUACCAUAUGAAUAAGGAUCGGCUAACUCCGUGCCAGCAGCCGCGGUAAUACGGAGGAUCCGAGCGUUAUACGGAUUUCUUGGGUUUAAAGGGAGCGUAGGUGGAUUGUUAAGUCAGUUGUGAAAGUUUGCGGCUCAAUCGUAAAAUUGCAGUUGAAAAUGGCAGUCUUGAGUACAGUAGAGGUGGGCGGAAUUCGUGGUGUAGCGGUGAAAUGCUUAGAUAUCACGAAGAACUCCGAUUGCGAAGGCAGCUCACUGGACUGCAACUGACACUGAGGCUCGAAAGUGUGGGUAUCAAACAGGAUUAGAUACCCGGGUAGUC